rnacentral:lncRNA from 1 species
AAGUGAUCAGUGACUGGCAAAUCAUUCCUCUGGAGUUUAAAAAAUCCUGGAAUAAACAGCUGACUGGCUGGCAUGAGGUGCAGGAGACCGAAGCAACGCCCGCUUUAUACAGAGUGACUUUCAACGCUGAAGCCCCCUUAAGGGACACCUACAUCAACGUGCGCGAUUGGAGGAAAGGAAUUGCGAUUAUAAACGGAUUCGUCUUGGGCAGGAUUUUUGCCAUCGGGCCUCAACAAGCGCUGUAUUUGCCCGCAGGGCUGCUGCAAGAAGGCGAAAAUGAGCUGAUCAUUUUCGAGCAUUUCACUGCCCCCGAAUAUGUGAAAUUUUCGAAGAAUGCCAUCUGGGGCAAGGGCACUUAUGUUAAUUAAAACUCGAUUCUAUUUUCAAUAAAUAGAGACUUAUAUGGUUUCCCAAAUUUGA